GACGAACGCUGGCGGCGUGCUUAACACAUGCAAGUCGAACGAAGUGGCGAACGGGUGAGUAACGCGUAAUCAACCUGCCCUUCAGAGGGGGACAACAGUUGGAAACGACUGCUAAUACCGCAUACUGAAGGAGGGGCUUGCGUCUGAUGAGCUACUGGGAGGGGUAACGGCCCACCAAGGCGAUGAUCAGUAGCCGGUCUGAGAGGAUGAACGGGCAAAGUGGGACGGAGAGACGGCCCAGAAUCCGACGGGAGGAAGCAGUGGGGAAGCUGCCGCAAUGGACGAAAGUCUGACGGAGCAACGCCGCGUGAGUGAUGACGGCCUUCGGGUUGUAAAGCUCUGUUAAUCGGGACGCGGUACCGGAAUAGAAAGCCACGGCUAACUACGUGCCAGCAGCCGCGGUAAUUC
rnacentral:rRNA from 1 species